AGCUCAGCAGGAUAGAGCAGCAGCCUCCUAAGCUGCAGGUCAGAGGUUCAAAUCCUCU
rnacentral:tRNA from 1 species